UUUGUGGUUAAUGAUGCAAGCUCUUUCCCCGACUUAUCGACUAUGCCGAUACAUUUUGUAUAUAAGCCAAAUUGUUCUGAAACCACACA